rnacentral:rRNA from 1 species
AUCUUCCGCAAUGGACGCAAGUCUGACGGAGCAACGCCGCGUGAGUGAUGAAGGUCUUCGGAUCGUAAAACUCUGUUGUUAGGGAAGAACAAGUACGAGAGUAACUGCUCGUACCUUGACGGUACCUAACCAGAAAGCCACGGCUAACUACGUGCCAGCAGCCGCGGUAAUACGUAGGUGGCAAGCGUUGUCCGGAAUUAUUGGGCGUAAAGCGCGCGCAGGCGGUCUCGUAAGUCUGAUGUGAAAGCCCACGGCUCAACCGUGGAGGGUCAUUGGAAACUGGGAGACUUGAGUGCAGAAGAGAAGAGUGGAAUUCCAUGUGUAGCGGUGAAAUGCGUAGAGAUAUGGAGGAACACCAGUGGCGAAGGCGACUCUUUGGUCUGUAACUGACGCUGAGGCGCGAAAGCGUGGGGAGCAAACAGG